rnacentral:tRNA from 1 species
GCCCAGGUGUUGGAACUGGUAGACAAGCUGGAUUUAGGUUCCAGUGUCCUAGCGGCGUGAGGGUUCGACUCCCUCCCUGGGCACCA